AAAACAUGCAAGUCGAGCGGAUGAAGGGAGCUUGCUCCUGGGAUUCAGCGGCGGACGGGUGAGUAAUGCCUAGGAAUCUGCCUGGUAGUGGGGGAUAACGUCCGGAAACGGGCGCUAAUACCGCAUACGUCCUGAGGGAGAAAGUGGGGGAUCUUCGGACCUCACGCUAUCAGAUGAGCCUAGGUCGGAUUAGCUAGUUGGUGGGGUAAAGGCCUACCAAGGCGACGAUCCGUAACUGGUCUGAGAGGAUGAUCAGUCACACUGGAACUGAGACACGGUCCAGACUCCUACGGGAGGCAGCAGUGGGGAAUAUUGGACAAUGGGCGAAAGCCUGAUCCAGCCAUGCCGCGUGUGUGAAGAAGGUCUUCGGAUUGUAAAGCACUUUAAGUUGGGAGGAAGGGCAGNAAGUUAAUACCUUGCUGUUUUGACGUUACCAACAGAAUAAGCACCGGCUAACUUCUGCCAGCAGCCGCGGUAAUACGAAGGGUGCAAGCGUUAAUCGGAAUUACUGGGCGUAAAG
rnacentral:rRNA from 1 species